CACACACACACACACACACACACAUAUAUAUAUAUAUAUAUAUUAGUGCUUAGUGUGUUGCAUUCACGAUUACGAGAUUGUGGGUUCGAUUCCCAGACCGGGUGUUACGUUCUGUUUUUGAGCAAAGCACUUUCUUUCUCGUUGCUCUGCGAUCAUUUCGACAUCUGACAUGUGGCACCUGUCGCACCUGUGCAGGUA